rnacentral:rRNA from 1 species
AACGAACGCUGGCGGCAUGCCUAACACAUGCAAGUCGAACGAGACCUUCGGGUCUAGUGGCGCACGGGUGCGUAACGCGUGGGAACCUGCCCUUAGGUUCGGAAUAACACCCCGAAAGGGGUGCUAAUACCGGAUAAUGUCUUCGGACCAAAGAUUUAUCGCCUUUGGAUGGGCCCGCGUUGGAUUAGCUAGUUGGUAGGGUAAAAGCCUACCAAGGCGACGAUCCAUAGCUGGUCUGAGAGGAUGAUCAGCCACACUGGGACUGAGACACGGCCCAGACUCCUACGGGAAGCAGCAGUGGGGAAUAUUGGACAAUGGGCGAAAGCCUGAUCCAGCAAUGCCGCGUGAGUGAUGAAGGCCUUAGGGUUGUAAAGCUCUUUUACCCGGGAUGAUAAUGACAGUACCGGGAGAAUAAGCUCCGGCUAACUCCGUG